ACGGGUGCGGAACACGUACGCAACCUUCCUUUAAGCGGGGAAUAGCCCAGGGAAACUUGGAUUAAUACCCCAUAAGACAGUGGUGUGGCAUCACACAGCUGUUAAAGCUCCGGCACUUAAAGAUGGGCGUGCGGCUGAUUAGGUAGUUGGCGGGGUAACGGCCCACCAAGCCGACGAUCAGUAACUGGUGUGAGAGCACGACCAGUCACACGGGCACUGAGACACGGGCCCGACUCCUACGGGAGGCAGCAGUAAGGAAUAUUGGUCAAUGGACGCAAGUCUGAACCAGCCAUGCCGCGUGGAGGAUGAAGGCCCUCUGGGUUGUAAACUUCUUUUAUUUGGGAAGAAACCUAUCUUUUCUAGGGUAGUUGACGGUACCAAGUGAAUAAGCACCGGCUAACUCCGUGCCAGCAGCCGCGGUAAUACGGAGGGUGCAAGCGUUAUCCGGAUUCACUGGGUUUAAAGGGUGCGUAGGUGGGCAAGUAAGUCAGUGGUGAAAUCUUUGGGCUUAACCCGAAAACUGCCGUUGAUACUAUUUGUCUUGAAUGUAGUGGAGGUGAGCGGAAUAUGUCAUGUAGCGGUG
rnacentral:rRNA from 1 species